rnacentral:siRNA from 1 species
CUCAUUCUUCUUUCUUGUUUUGGU